GAUGAAGAACGUAGCGAAAUGCGAUAAGUAGUGUGAAUUGUAGAAUUCAGUGAAUCAUCGAAUCUUUGAACGCACAUUGCGCCCUUUGGUAUUCCUUAGGGCAUGCCUGUUCGAGCGUCAUUUAAACCUUCAAGCUAAGCUUGGUGUUGGGUGACUGUCCGCUUCACGGCGGACUCGCCUCAAAAUUAUUGGCGGCCGGUACAUUGGCUUCGAGCGCAGCAGAAACGCGAACUCGGGCCCGUCGUAUUGGCUCCCAGAAGCUAUCUUCACAAUUUUGACCUCGGAUCAGGUAGGGAUACCCGCUGAACUUAAGCAUAUCAAUAAGCGGAGGA
rnacentral:misc_RNA from 1 species